GACAUUUUGAUUUUGCUUGCAAAAUCUCGUGCUGACGAGCGGCGAACGGGUGAGUAACGCGUAGGAAUCUACCUAGUAGAAGGGGAUAGCCCGAGGAAACUCGGAUUAAUACCGUAUACGUCCUUAGGGAGAAAGAGGGCUUAGCUUUGAUGCUCUCGCUAUUAGAUGAGCCUGCGUAAGAUUAGCUUGUUGGUGAGGUAAAGGCUCACCAAGGCAACGAUCUUUAGCUGGUCUGAGAGGACGAUCAGCCACAUUGGGACUGAGACACGGCCCAGACUCCUACGGGAGGCAGCAGUGGGGAAUAUUGGACAAUGGGCGCAAGCCUGAUCCAGCCAUACCGCGUGUGUGAAGAAGGCCUUCGGGUUGUAAAGCACUUUAAGUAAGGAAGAAAAGAGUAUUGUUAAUACCAAUACUCCGUGACAUUACUUACAGAAUAAGGACCGGCUAAUUCCGUGCCAGCAGCCGCGGUAAUACGGAAGGUCCAAGCGUUAAUCGGAAUUACUGGGCGUAAAGCGCGCGUAGGUGGUUUAUUAAGUUGGGUGUGAAAGCCCCGGGCUCAACCUGGGAACUGCAUUCAAAACUGAUUCACUAGAGUACGAAAGAGGAAAGUAGAAUUCACAGUGUAGCGGUGGAAUGCGUAGAUAUUGUGAAGAAUACCGAUGGCGAAGGCAGCUUUCUGGUUCUGUACUGACACUGAGGUGCGAAAGCGUGGGUAGCGAACAGGAUUAGAUACCCUGGUAGUCCACGCCGUAAACGAUGACAACUAGCUGUUGGGAAGCUAUGCUUUUCAGUGGCGCAGCUAACGUCUUAAGUUGUCCGCCUGGGGAGUACGG
rnacentral:rRNA from 1 species